UGCUACAGACUACAUUUCCCAGAUUCCACAGCUGAGGUCCUGGAUAUGACUUAGCUUCUGCCCAUGCUGACCUGUCUGACUUGGAAGACAAAAGGGAGGUGAGGCCAUCUCCCUUCUACAGCUCUGUCUGAUGAGUAUGGUCCUGCGCUAUGAGUGUUUCAAGGCAAUGGUGACACCUGGACUCAGUGAGCCAGUGCAUGGCAGGCACAAGCGUGACGAGUUCACAGGCAUUGAAGCAUUUAGGCUGCUGGGCACAGCAUUUCUCUGUUGGGUCACCCACUUCAUGGAGCUUCCUGGCUUCGAAACUGCAUCUGCGUCAAGAGCACAACCUGCAGAAUUUCUUCUGUUGUUCAUUUUUUUUGGAUCUAAGGAAAAUAAUUCUACUCAUCAGAAAUUCCUGAUACUUGUCUUACUGAUAUUCGCUGAUGUUCUCAAACAACUUAUGUAGGCACCUAAAGCCAAACAAAGUAUGCAGAUGUCUGAAGCCAUGAGCCUCCCAGAUGUCACUUGAGGGCUAUCCACAAGAUGUGUCAUGAAAAAGGCUGCUGUGGCCGAUGCUGCCCAGAACAAUCUACACUUGCAAU